rnacentral:rRNA from 1 species
UACGGAGGGUGCAAGCGUUAUCCGGAUUCACUGGGUUUAAAGGGUGCGUAGGUGGUUCGGUAAGUCGGAUGUGAAAUCUCCAGGCUCAACCUGGAGGGGUCAUUCGAUACUGCCGUGACUAGAGUUCGGUAGAGGAGUGUGGAAUUCCUGGUGGAGCGGUGAAAUGCGCAGAGAUCAGGAGGAACACCAGUAGCGAAGGCGGCACUCUGGGCCGGAACUGACGCUGAGGAGCGAAAGCGUGGGUAGCAAACAGG